rnacentral:hammerhead_ribozyme from 1 species
AUUCAGCUGACGAGUCACAUAUGAGACGAAAUAUGCGUCCUGGAU